rnacentral:rRNA from 1 species
AACGAACGCUGGCGGCAGGCCUAACACAUGCAAGUCGAACGCCCUAGCAAUAGGGAGUGGCAGACGGGUGAGUAACACGUGGGAACGUGCCCUUCGGUUCGGAAUAACUCAGGGAAACUUGAGCUAAUACCGGAUAAGUGCGAGAGCAGAAAGAUUUAUCGCCGAAGGAUCGGCCCGCGUCCGAUUAGCUAGUUGGUGAGGUAAUGGCUCACCAAGGCGACGAUCGGUAGCUGGUCUGAGAGGAUGACCAGCCACACUGGGACUGAGACACGGCCCAGACUCCGACGGGAGGCAGCAGGGGGAAAUAUUGGACAAGGGGCGCAAGCCUGACCCGGCCAUGCCGCGGGGGUGAUGAGGGCCGUAGGGUUGUAAAGCUCUUUCGCCAGGGACGAUAAUGACGGUACCUGGAUAAGAAGCCCCGGCUAACUUCGUGCCAGCAGCCGCAGUAA